rnacentral:rRNA from 1 species
UGCCUGACGUGGACGCUAGCCUUCAAGACUAAGCCAUGCAAGUUUGCGAGCAGAGCAGCGAACGGCUCAGUAGAACAGGGCACUCUGACGCGGCAGCCAGAUAACCACGGGAAACUGUGGCUGAGAGGCGCGGUGAGGCUCUGGCCUAUCAGCUUGUCGGUACGGUAAGGGCGUACGGAGGCGAUGACGGGUAACGGAGGAUAUUUGUCCGAUUCCGGAGAGGGAGCCUGAGAGAUGGCUGCCACGUCCAAGGACGGCAGCAGGCGCGAAACUUACCCAAUGAGCAUUGAGGUAGUGACGAGGCGUAUUUGUGGGGAAAGAGUGAAGUGUUUUCCGAGAGCGACUGGAGGGCAAGUCUGGUGCCAGCAGCCGCGGUAAUUCCAGCUCCAGGGGCGUCUGUGUGUGUUGCUGCGGUUAAAAAGCGCGUAGUCUGAAGGAUGGCUGGCCGGCCAUAUGCAUUUCAUGUGCUAUUGGCCUGCCACAGCCAUUUUUCUUGGGAGCGAGAGACGUCAGUGGUAUUCGGCAGCGAGGGGUGAAAACUGUAGACCUGGCGAGGAGCAACGGAGGCGCAAGCGGCUGACGAGAGCGCAUCCGACGAUCAAGCGCGUAGGCGGGAGUAUCGAAGACGAUUAGAGACCGUCGUAGUUCCUGCAGUAAACGAUGCCGACACGGCUGCGAAGGCGUGGCCAGAGGGAAACCGAGUGUACGGGCUCCGGGGAGAGUACGGGCGCAAGCCAGAAACUUGAAGAAAUUGACGGAAGGACACCACCAGGCGUGGAGUGUGCGGGUUAAUUUGACUCAACGCGGGGCAACUUACCCGGGCCGCAUGGAACGGCGAAGGCAGUGCCUGAGUUUCAUGAGCGUGGUGCAUGGCCGUUCUCAACGCGAAGGGUGACCAUUAAGUUAAGUCUGCCAAGCAGUGAGGCCCUCGCCUGGAUGCGCACGCGCGUUCAGGGACGACGGACGCAAGUCCGGGGAAGCUGGGGCGUAUAACAGGUCUGUGAUGCCCGCAGAUGUCCGGGGCUCCACGCGCACUACAAUGCAGGGCACUAUAACAGAGUAAGCCCUGCGUGGUCGGGAUCGAGGCUUGUAAAUGCCUCGUGAACCAGGAAUGCCUAGUAGUUGUCUGUCAUCAGCGGACAGCGAAUGAGUCCCUGUUCUUUGUACACACCGCCCGUCGUUAUCUAAGAUGGUGGUGCGGAUGAAGACCAGCGAUGGUAAGAAUCCGUGCUGCUAGAUUGGAUGUAAGUCGUACAAUGGA